GACAGCUUGGGCCGAGUGGUUAAGGCGAUGGACUUGAAAUCCAUUGGGGUAACCUGCGUGAGUUCAAAUCUCACAGCUGUCG
rnacentral:tRNA from 1 species